rnacentral:rRNA from 1 species
AUGAACGCUGGCGGCGUGCUUAACACAUGCAAGUCGAACGGAGAUGUUGUGUGAGCGGAGAGUGCUUGCACUUAACAAUCUUUCAACAUCUUAGUGGCGGACGGGUGAGUAACGCGUGGGUAACCUGCCUCAUACAGGGGGAUAACACUUAGAAAUAGGUGCUAAUACCGCAUAAGCGCACAGUACCGCAUGGUACAGUGUGAAAAACUCCAGUGGUAUGAGAUGGACCCGCGUCUGAUUAGCUAGUUGGUGAGGUAACGGCUCACCAAGGCGACGAUCAGUAGCCGGCCUGAGAGGGUGAACGGCCACAUUGGGACUGAGACACGGCCCAAACUCCUACGGGAGGCAGCAGUGGGGAAUAUUGCACAAUGGGGGAAACCCUGAUGCAGCGACGCCGCGUGAGUGAAGAAGUAUUUCGGUAUGUAAAGCUCUAUCAGCAGGGAAGAAGAAUGACGGUACCUGACUAAGAAGCCCCGGCUAACUACGUG